GGCGAGCGGCGGACGGGUGAGGAACACGUAGGAAUCUACCCUCAAGCGGGGGAUAACUAAGGGAAACUUUAGCUAAUACCGCAUAAUCUCGAAAGAGAAAAGCUACCCGCAAGGGCGGCACUUGAGGAGGAGCCUGCGUCCGAUUAACUAGUUGGUGAGGUAAGAGCUCACCAAGGCGAUGAUCGGUAACUGGUCUGAGAGGACGACCAGUCACACUGGGACUGAGACACGGCCCAGACUCCUACGGGAGGCAGCAGUGGGGAAUAUUGGACAAUGGGGGCAACCCUGAUCCAGCGAUGCCGCGUGAGUGAAGAAGGCCUUCGGGUCGUAAAGCUCUUUAGGUUGGGAAGAAGGGUAUUCGGUGCAUAGCCGAGUAUUUUGACGGUACCGACAGAAUAAGCACCGGCAAACUCUGUGCCAGCAGCCGCGGUAAUACAGAGGGUGCGAGCGUUAAUCGGAGUUACUGGGCGUAAAGGGUGCGUAGGCGGUAAGAUGUGUGUGAUGUGAAAGCCCCGGGCUUAACCUGGGAAGUGCAUCGCAAA
rnacentral:rRNA from 1 species